rnacentral:rRNA from 1 species
AGCUCCAAUAGCGUAUAUUAAAGUUGUUGCAGUUAAAAAGCUCGUAGUUGGAUUUCUGGUUAGAUUCUAUUGGCCCACCUGCACUUGUAGGUCGGUGCCGACUUGAGUCUGCCAUCUUUCUAGAAAACGUGCCUGCCCUUCAAUGGGUUGGGCACGGGAUCUAGAUCUUUUACUUUGAAAAAAUUAGAGUGUUUAAAGCAGGCAGUUUGCUAUGAAUACAUUAGCAUGGAAUAAUAAUUUAGGACUUCGUUGUCUUAUUUUGUUGGUUUCUAGGACCGAAGUAAUGAUUGAUAGGGAUAGUUGGGGGUGCUAGUAUUCAGCGGCCAGAGGUGAAAUUCUUAGAUUCGCUGAAGACUAACUUAUGCGAAAGCAUUCACCAAGGAUGUCUUCUUUA